UACGUAGGGGGCAAGCGUUGUCCGGAAUUAUUGGGCGUAAAGAGCUCGUAGGCGGUUUGUCGCGUCUGCUGUGAAAACUGGGGGCUCAACCCCCAGCCUGCAGUGGGUACGGGCAGACUAGAGUGCGGUAGGGGAGAUUGGAAUUCCUGGUGUAGCGGUGGAAUGCGCAGAUAUCAGGAAGAACACCGGUGGCGAAGGCGGCUCUCUGGGCCUUACCUGACGCUGAGGAGCGAAAGCGUGGGUAGCGAACAGG
rnacentral:rRNA from 1 species